UACGUAGGUGGCAAGCGUUAUCCGGAAUUAUUGGGCGUAAAGCGCGCGCAGGUGGUUCUUUAAGUCUGAUGUGAAAGCCCCCGGCUCAACCGGGGAGGGUCAUUGGAAACUGGGGAACUUGAGUAUAGAAGAGGAAAGUGGAAUUCCACGUGUAGCGGUGAAAUGCGUAGAGAUGUGGAGGAACACCAGUGGCGAAGGCGACUUUCUGGUCUAUAACUGACACUGAGGCGCGAAAGCGUGGGGAGCAAACAGGG
rnacentral:rRNA from 1 species